AACAGAUGGUAUAAUCUAGUGGCUGCAUCACAAACUGGAUUGCUGCAAGAUUUUUGGCAACAACUACAAUUUUGCGAAUCUUCCAAAACCUUGGCAUAUCAUCAUCAUCGUAACCACUAUGUAUGAUGGCAUCGCAUCUGUAUUUAUGUACCGGUACAUAAUUUUUAUUCUGCCUAGAAGUUGAAAGCCCCAGGCCGGUUGUAUCAAGCAGGGGCGUAGGAAGCGGGGG